GACGAACGCUGGCGGCGUGCUUAACACAUGCAAGUCGAACGGUAAGGCCCUUCGGGGUACACGAGUGGCGAACGGGUGAGUAACACGUGGGUGAUCUGCCCUGCACUUCGGGAUAAGCCUGGGAAACUGGGUCUAAUACCGGAUAGGACCACUGCCUGCAGGGGUGGGGGUGGAAAGCCUUUGCGGUGUGGGAUGGGCCCGCGGCCUAUCAGCUUGUUGGUGGGGUGAUGGCCUACCAAGGCGACGACGGGUAGCCGGCCUGAGAGGGUGACCGGCCACACUGGGACUGAGAUACGGCCCAGACUCCUACGGGAGGCAGCAGUGGGGAAUAUUGCACAAUGGGCGCAAGCCUGAUGCAGCGACGCCGCGUGAGGGAUGACGGCCUUCGGGUUGUAAACCUCUUUCAGCACCGACGAAGCGCAAGUGACGGUAGGUGCAGAAGAAGGACCGGCCAACUACGUGCCAGCCGCCGCGGUAA
rnacentral:rRNA from 1 species